GACGAACGCUGGCGGCGUGCUUAACACAUGCAAGUCGAGCGGUAAGGCCCUUUCGGGGGUACACGAGCGGCGAACGGGUGAGUAACACGUGGGUGACCUGCCCUUAGCUCUGGGAUAAGCCUGGGAAACUGGGUCUAAUACCGGAUAUGACUCCAUGACGCAUGUUGUGGGGUGGAAAGCCUUGUGCGGCUAGGGAUGGGCCCGCGGCCUAUCAGCUUGUUGGCGGGGUAACGGCCUACCAAGGCGACGAUGCGUAGCUGGUCUGAGAGGACGAUCAGCCACACUGGGACUGAGACACGGCCCAGACUCCUACGGGAGGCAGCAGUGGGGAAUCUUGCGCAAUGCGCGAAAGCGUGACGCAGCAACGCCGCGU
rnacentral:rRNA from 1 species